rnacentral:rRNA from 1 species
UACGUAGGGAGCAAGCGUUGUCCGGAAUCAUUGGGCGUAAAGGGCGCGUAGGUGGUUCUGUAUGUCUACCGUGAAAGCAUACAGCUCAACUGUAUUUUGUCGGUAGAAACUGCAGGACUUGAGGCUGGGAGGGGCUGGUGGAAUUCCCUGUGUAGCGGUGAAAUGCGUAGAGAUGGGGGAGAACACUCGUGGCGAAGGCGGCCAGCUAGACCAGUUCUGACACUGAGGCGCGACAGCGUGGGGAGCAAACAGG